rnacentral:snRNA from 1 species
AGCUUUGCGCAGUGGCAGUAUCGUAGCCAAUGAGGUUUAUCCGAGGCGCGAUUAUUGCUAAUUGAAAAAUUAAAUUUCAUAAGCUAAAAAUUGGACAGAUUAUAUUUUUAAAAGAUAGUCUACAAU